GAUGAAGAACGCAGCAAAAUGCGAUAAGUAAUGCGAAUUGCAGAAUUUCCGUGAGUCAUCGAAUCUUUGAACGCACAUUGCGCCCGCCAGUAUUCUGGCGGGCAUGCCUGUUCGAGCGUCAUUACAACCCUCAGGCCCCCGGGCCUGGCGUUGGGGAUCGGCGGAGCCCCCCGUGGGCACACGCCGUCCCCCAAAUGCAGUGGCGGUCCCGCCGCAGCUUCCAUCGCGUAGUAGCUAACACCUCGCGACUGGAGAGCGGCGCGGCCACGCCGUAAAACACCCAACUCUUCUGAAGUUGACCUCGAAUCAGGUAGGAAUACCCGCUGAACUUAAGCAUAUCAAUAAGCGGAGGA
rnacentral:misc_RNA from 1 species